rnacentral:tRNA from 2 species
GCCUUGAUGGUGAAAUGGUAGACACGCGAGACUCAAAAUCUCGUGCUGAAGAGCGUGGAGGUUCGACUCCUCUUCAAGGCA